rnacentral:rRNA from 1 species
AACGAACGCUGGCGGCAUGCCUAACACAUGCAAGUCGAACGAGACCUUCGGGUCUAGUGGCGCACGGGUGCGUAACGCGUGGGAACCUGCCCUUAGGUUCGGAAUAACUCCCCGAAAGGGGUGCUAAUACCGGAUAAUGUCUUCGGACCAAAGAUUUAUCGCCUUUGGAUGGGCCCGCGUUGGAUUAGCUAGUUGGUAGGGUAAAAGCCUACCAAGGCGACGAUCCAUAGCUGGUCUGUGAGGAUGAUCAGCCACACUGGGACUGAGACACGGCCCAGACUCCGACGGGAGGCAGCGGUGGGGAGUAUUGGACAAUGGGCGAAAGCCUGAUCCAGCAGUGCCGCGUGAGUGAUGAAGGCCGUAGGGUUGUAAAGCUCUUUUACCCGGGGUGAUAAUGACAGUACCGGGAGAAUAAGCUCCGGCUAACUCCGUG